AGAAGGACUAGUCGCCGAAACGUUUUCUUGAUGGGAGAACAACUGACCAGCUCUCUCGGCCAAUCCGAGGACGGAGCGCGAGUGGCAGGAUGGGGGCGGAAAGCCAGGGAGGAUGCUGUUCUGAAGCCCGGGAAGGCCAGUCUGGACUGCAACGGGCAUUACCGUACUCUCGCGAGAGCUGGAGCCAACCGAGGGCUGGCCCCUCAUGAAGACCGCGGAAUUGUGGGAAAGAUUGGCCAUCGAGACCACUGUUGACCACACUCUGAACGUAGUGCACGGCCGGGUUUUGGGAACCAUGGGCACUUCUUGCAGGAGAUAGGAGCCUAAUGGUGGCUUGAAGUGAGCACUUACACAGAGACCGAAAUCUGUGCUGAAUGAGACUGUAAAUGGCUGAACAAAUCCAUGAGGCAAGAUUGGAAGUGAGAGCCCAGCUCCUGGAAGGCAAAAGCAUAGCAUCGUCUGUUAGAGGCCAGGGCGCCACAGGUGCUAUGGAUUAAGCCAGUGCUCUGUCUGCAUGCACACCUGCAUGCCAGAAGAGAGCAUUGGAUCCCAUUACAGAUGGUUGUGAGACCCC
rnacentral:lncRNA from 1 species